GAUGAACGCUGACAGAAUGCUUAACACAUGCAAGUCUUUGGCAAAGCUGUGCUUGCACAGCCUAGCCAAGGCGGACGGGUGAGUAACGCGUAAGGAACUUGCCCUGCAGUCAGGGAUAACAGACGGAAACGACUGAUAAGACCUGGUAAAGUCAGGCGGACUCAUGUCCAGCCUGAUGAAAAGGAAUGCUGCAGGAGAGCCUUGCGUCCUAUUAGCUUGUUGGUGGGGUAACGGCCCACCAAGGCGAUGA
rnacentral:rRNA from 1 species